rnacentral:rRNA from 1 species
CCUACGGGAGGCAGCAGUGGGGAAUAUUGGGCAAUGGGCGCAAGCCUGACCCAGCAACGCCGCGUGAAGGAAGAAGGCUUUCGGGUUGUAAACUUCUUUUAUGAGGGACGAAACAAAUGACGGUACAUCAUGAAUAAGCCACGGCUAACUACGUGCCAGCAGCCGCGGUAAUACGUAGGUGGCAAGCGUUAUCCGGAUUUACUGGGUGAAAAGGGCGUGUAGGCGGGACUGCAAGUCAGAUGUGAAAAUUAUGGGCUCAACCCCUAAACUGCCUUUGAAACUGUAGUUCUUUAGUGAUGGAGAGGCAGGCCGAAAUCCUGGGGUAGCGGUGAAAUGCGGUGAU